UACGGAGGAUCCGAGCGUUAUCCGGAUUUAUUGGGUUUAAAGGGUGCGUAGGUGGUUUGAUAAGUCAGCGGUGAAAGUUUGCAGCUUAACUGUAAAAAUGCCGUUGAAACUGUCGGACUUGAGUGUAAAUGAGGUAGGCGGAAUGCGUGGUGUAGCGGUGAAAUGCAUAGAUAUCACGCAGAACUCCGAUUUCGAAGGCAGCUUACUAAGCUACAACUGACACUGAAGCACGAAAGCGUGGGGAUCAAACAGGAUUAGAUACCCUGGUA
rnacentral:rRNA from 1 species